GAAGUAGGCGAGGUGGUUACCCCCACUGCUUUCUUGCUUCAUCCCCCCCUGCUUCGCUUUGCGAAGCAAAGCGGGGGGGAGAACAGCAAGAAGUGGGGGAGGAAAGUCCGGGCUCCUGCGGGAAGAAUGGCCGCUAAUUACGGCUCCCUGCGAAGGGAAGGAAAGUGCCACAGAAAAGAUACCGCCCCCACUGCUUUCUUGCUUCAUCCCCCCCUGCUUCGAUUUGCGAAGCAAAGCGGGGGGGAGAACAGCAAGAAGUGGGGGGUAAGGGUGCAAUGGCGAGGUAAGAGCUCACCGUCUGCCGGGUAACUGGCGGAGCAAGGUAAACCCCAUCCGGAGCAAGGCCAAGUAUGAGAGAUUCCCCGCAAUAUAUCUCUCGGGUAGGCUGCUUGAGGUGUCCAGCAAUGGGCAUCCCAGAGAAAUGACCAUCUACAACAAAACCCGGCUUAUCGCCUACUUCAAGA
rnacentral:RNase_P_RNA from 1 species